GCGCAAUGGGCGGAAGCCUGACGCAGCGACGCCGCGUGGGGGAUGACGGCCUUCGGGUUGUAAACCUCUUUCAGCAGGGACGAAGUUGACGUGUACCUGCAGAAGAAGCGCCGGCUAACUACGUGCCAGCAGCCGCGGUAAUACCGUAGGGCGCAAGCGUUGUCCGGAAUUAUUGGGCGUAAAGAGCUCGUAGGC
rnacentral:rRNA from 1 species